rnacentral:rRNA from 1 species
UACGUAGGGGGCAAGCGUUGUCCGGAUUUAUUGGGCGUAAAGAGCGUGUAGGCGGCCAAACAGGUCAGCUGUGAAAACUCGAGGCUCAACCUCGAGACGUCGGUUGAAACCGUUUGGCUAGAGUCCGGAAGAGGAGAGUGGAAUUCCCGGUGUAGCGGUGAAAUGCGCAGAUAUCAGGAAGAACACCCGUGGCUAAGGCGGCUCUCUAGUACGGUACUGACGCUGAGACGCGAAAGCGUGGGGAGCGAACAGG